rnacentral:rRNA from 1 species
UACGAAGGUCCCGAGCGUUAUCCGGAUUUAUUGGGUUUAAAGGGUGCGUAGGCGGGUUAUUAAGUCAGUGGUGAAAGCCUACAGCUUAACUGUAGAAUUGCCAUUGAUACUGAUGAUCUUGAGUAUGAUUGAGGUGGGCGGAAUGUGUCAUGUAGCGGUGAAAUGCUUUAGAUAUGACACAGAAACACCGAUUGCGAAGGCAGCUCACUAAGUCAAUAACUGACG